rnacentral:rRNA from 1 species
UACAGAGGUCCCAAGCGUUGUUCGGAUUCACUGGGCGUAAAGGGUGCGUAGGCGGCGUGGCAAGUCUGAUGUGAAAUCCCGGGGCUCAACCCCGGAACUGCAUUGGAUACUGCUAUGCUAGAGUACUGGAGAGGAGAUUGGAAUUUACGGUGUAGCAGUGAAAUGCGUAGAUAUCGUAAGGAAGACCAGUGGCGAAGGCGAAUCUCUGGACAGUUACUGACGCUGAGGCACGAAGGCCAGGGGAGCAAACGGG